ACUUGGUGAUGUGGGCAUUAGUGCAAGAGGUCCCUAAAGCGCUCUCAUGUCUCGAAAAAUAGUUCCCCAUCCAAUUGUGAAAAACUAGUGAUGACCUUCCUCAAAUG